UGGGUACAGUUGGCACUCAAGAAGAAGCUGCUAGACUGUAUGACAGGGCCGCUUUUAUGUGUGGGAGGGAACCGAAUUUUGAGCUUUCCGAGGAAGAGAAGCAGGAACUAAGACAAUUCAAAUGGGAUGAUUUUUUGGCAUUUACACGUUCUGCGAUUACUAAUAAGAAAACUCGAAGAAGAAGUGGGGCUGGUGCACGGAGGAAAUUCGAGCCUUUAACUUCAGCACUGAACAGUGAGGAGGAUGAGGAAGAGAAGCAGG
rnacentral:misc_RNA from 1 species